CCUACGGGUGGCUGCAGUGAGGAAUAUUGGGCAAUGGGGGCAACCCUGACCCAGCCAUGCCGCGUGAGUGAAGAAGGUCUUCGGAUUGUAAAGCUCUUUCGGACGUGACGAUGAUGACGGUAGCGUCUAAAGAAGCACCGGCAAACUUCGUGCCAGCAGCCGCGGUAAUACGAAGGGUGCGAGCGUUGUUCGGAAUUACUGGGCGUAAAGGGAGUGUAGGUGGAUAUGUAAGAUAGCGGUAAAAUGUCCGGGCUCAACCCGGGCCGGCCGUUGAAACUGGGGAUCUUGAGUGGGCGAGAAGUAUGCGGAAUGCGUGGUGUAGCGGUGAAAUGCAUAGAUAUCACGCAGAACUCCGAUUGCGAAGGCAGCAUACCGGCGCCCGACUGACGCUGAGGCACGAAAGCGUGGGGAUCGAACAGGAUUAGAUACCCGGGUAGUC
rnacentral:rRNA from 1 species